GGCGCACGGGUGCGUAACACGUAUGCAACCUACCUUGUACAGGGGAAUAGCCCAGGGAAACUUGGAUUAAUGCCCCAUAGUCCCCUAGUUCGGCAUCGGACAAGGGGUAAAGUUCAGGCGGUACAAGAUGGGCAUGCGUCCCAUUAGCUAGUUGGGGCGGUAACGGCGCCCCAAGGCUACGAUGGGUAGGGGCCCUGAGAGGGGUGACCCCCACACUGGUACUGAGACACGGACCAGACUCCUACGGGAGGCAGCAGUGAGGAAUAUUGGACAAUGGGCGGGAGCCUGAUCCAGCCAUGCCGCGUGCAGGAAGACGGCCCUAUGGGUUGUAAACUGCUUUUGUUGGGGAAGAAUAAGGGGCACGCGUGCCCUGAUGACGGUACCCGACGAAUAAGGAUCGGCUAACUCCGUGCCAGCAGCCGCGGUAAUACGGAGGAUCCGAGCGUUAUCCGGAAUCAUUGGGUUUAAAGGGUCCGUAGGCGGGCGCAUAAGUCAGGGGUGAAAGUUUGCCGCUCAACGGUAAAAUUGCCUUUGAUACUGUGUGCCUUGAAUAGCGGUGAAGUGGUUAGAAUGUGCAGUGUAGCGGUGAAAUGCUUAGAUAUUGCACAGAAUACCGAUUGCGAAGGCAGGCCACUAACCGCGUAUUGACGCUGAGGGACGAAAGCGUGGGGAGCGAACAGGAUUAGAUACCCUGGUAGUCCACGCUGUAAACGAUGGAUACUAGCUGUUUGUUCCGCAUUGGCGGGGUGAGUGGCUAAGCGAAAGUGAUAAGUAUCCCACCUGG
rnacentral:rRNA from 1 species